ACCACAAGCAGGUUCCUGGCAAGUUUUUUACGAGGUGUGGUUUUUUUUCCAUGCUUUCCAACUGCAGAAUCCCAUGCAGCAGCUUGGACUUGCCUUGUUGCGUUGCUCAGUGACACUGCUGACCUCAGUCCAGAAGCGAAAGCGAAAAUCCAUUAUGAAAUCUAGUUGCAUUAUAAAGAAGGAGGAGCCCCUAGUGUGCCUUUUUCUCUGGGAUCCAAGUGGCUUCUGCAUCUCCUGUGCAGGGCUCUGGAAGAGGAGCUGAAUGACUGGGAGUUGGAAAGAACUGCUCAGGCACUCGGAGAAAGGAAUGGAAGAGGCAGGAAAGCUUCCUCAGGCAAAGCAGCUUUUGAGGAAGAUGACUAAGGGAGGAGCCUGGUGAGCCUGACCUGGGACCACAGAGGAUCUCAGAGAACAUCCAGCACCACUGGAACUGAGCACCCAGGGCAGCCAGAUGGACUCUCCCCACCUCGUGGGGUUGUGUUUCCUGCUCCUGGCUGUUGCAGCUCCCUGUCCAAAUAUUGCCAUGGCCAGUGGUCACCCUACUGAGAGGACACAUAACUCUUCCUCUGGCAAAACAAAUGUGACAGUCUACUACUGUAAAGACUGUGCAAUCAGUGAAUGUGAAUCAGGCAGAUUUGAAAGAUUUGUAAAAAUGGCUAAAACAGAAAACGAGGGAAAAAUUGACUUGGUGACCAGGAAAACACUCAUCCUUGUGUGCUUUCAGCAAGGAAAUACUUCUCCUGAAGGAAUUUAUGGCAUCGUCUGGGUAAAAACCAGGGGAAUUGGACACUCGUGUGCCAUCCUGAAUUCUACAGCUUUCUCAGCAAAUGGGAGAGGUAGCAUCAGUCCUGAGGAGAAUAAACUUUGCUGUGAAGCAGAAAUAAAUAUCUGGGAGUCCAAUCUUACACUGAAGUGCCACACUGAAAUGUCAGGUGCAGAAACUAGAAAAGCACCAGCUGGUAUCCUUGGUGAGGAAAUUCCAGGUAGAAGGAGCGACAUCAUCAUCUCUGUCACAUUCCUGCUGCUCCUUGUGCUUUGUGCAGGAACGGUCACUGCAUAUUGCUAUCGGCGGCAUCGGAUUAUUCAAGCUCUCAGAAUAAACAGACAGGCUUCAGAUGAAGAGAGCCUCACACAGGCUUGAAAACUAUCUACGAGUGAGAAGAUCCCUAUGCCAGCAGCAUCUUCCUCUGUCCUGAUGUACAGCAACCAGCUGAAGCAACAGAGCCUGAUGUUCCAUGAGACCUCCUGGUCCCAUAUUCACAAAUGGUCUGGUUUUCACAAAUGCACCUUCACCACAUCCACAUGUUCACCAAGGACUGUGAUUGCCACAGUUGUCCAGCUCCAGGCCUUCAAGAGCAGCACAAGCAGCACCCUGGAUCUCCCAUUCUCUGCUGGUGCUUGGCUGAGGAGCUAUCACAAGGUGUGUGGCUGACUCAGCAGCACAGCCUUAAACCAGCUGAAUUAUCUCCAGCUGUGUGCUCUGCUUCCUGGAGAUGUCUACUGGGUUUGUCCUCAGCAAGUGCUUUGUGUUUUGCAACAUACAUAGAUAGGCAAAUAUUUUUAUUCACAGAAUUAUGGAAUGGUUUGGGUUGGAAGAUCAUCUGAUGAAAUAAAAAAAGGACUAACAAUACUAAGAUGCCUGAC
ensembl:lncRNA